CGUUUGGGUAGACAUGUGGGGCUGAGCGGGAGUUGGGGGGCAGAAAGAAGGAGGUGUGGGGCUGAGGUACUUGUGGGGCUGGGGCGUUGCUGUGGGGCUGAGCUACUUGUGGGGCUGGGGAUGGGCUUGGCGUCUGAUCUACUUGUGGGGCUGGGGGGAGAUGUGGGGCUGGGGGCGGUUGGGCGGAUCCGUGGGGCUGAGCGGGAGCUGUGGGGCAGCGGGGAGGAGGUGUGGGGCCGGGAGCGACUUGGGGGUCUGAGCGACUUGUGGGGCAGGAGGGGCCGUGGGGGCACGUGUGGGGCACGUGUGGGGCAGCAGCGGUGUCCUCGUCCCAUCCGCGCUCUGUGCCGUGUCACGCGUGUUCUGCGUCACGUGUGUUUUUGUGUCCCGUGUCAUCACGUGUUCACAUGUUGCGUCUCUAUCACGCCCAUCAUGGCUUCCCUGUCCCGUGUUUGCGUGUUACACGCGUGUUUUUGAGUCCCAUGUUGGUGUACCAUGUGUGUAUUGCAUGUCCCCGUGUCACGUGUUCACGUGCUGCGUCACGCGUGUUCUGCGUCACGCGUGUUCUGCGUCACGCGUGUUCUGCGUCACGUGUUUUUUUUGUCCCGUGUUGGUGUGUCACGUGUGUGUUGCAUGUCUGUGUCGUCACGUGUCCCCAUAUCACAUGUUCACGUGCUGCGUCACGCGUGUUCUGCAUCAGGCGUGUUCUGCGUCACGUGUCCCCGUGUUGCGUCUCUAUCACGCCCAUCACGCCUUCUCCUGUCCCGUGUUUGCGUGUUACACGCGUGUUUUUGAGUCCCGUGUUGGUGUGUCACGUGUGCGUUGCGUGUCCGUGUCGUCACGUGUCCCUGUGUCACGUGUUCAUGUGCUGCGUCACACGUGUUCUGCAUCACGCGUGUUCUGUGUCACGCGUGUUUUUGUGUCCCGUGUCGUCACGUGUCCCCGUGUUGUGUCUCUAUCACACCCAUCACGGCUUCUCGUGUCCCGUGUUUUCAUGUUACGCGCGUGUCCCUGUGUCACGUGUGUUGCUGUGUCACGUGUGCGUUGCGUGUCCGUGUCGUCACGUGUCCCCGUGUCACAUGUUCAUGUGUUGUGUCUCUAUGACGCCCAUCGUGUCUUCUCCUGUCCCGUUUUUGCGUGUUACACGCGUGUCCCUGUGUCACACGUGUUUUUGUGUCCCGUGUGUUUUUGUGUCACAUGUGCGUUGCGUGUCCGUGUCGUCACGUAUCCCCAUGUCACGUGUCCACGUGCUGCGUCUCUUGUGCCCGUCACGGCUUCUCCUGUCCUGUGUUUGCGUGUUACACGUGUGUUUUUGUGUCCCGUGUUGCUGUGUCAUGUGUGCGUGGCGUGUUUGUGUCGUCACGUGUCCCCGUGUCACGUGUUCAUGUGUUGCGUCUCUAUCGCGCCCAUCACGGCUUCUCCUGUCCCGUGUUUGCGUGUUACACGCGUGUCCCCGGGUCACGCGUGUUUUUGUGUCCCGUGUCGCUGUGUCACAUGUGCAUUGUGUGCCCGUGUUGUCACAUGUCCCCUGGUCACAUGUUCACGUGUUGCGUCUCCAUCGCUCCCGUCACAGCUUCUCCUGUCCAGUGUUUGCAUGUUACACGCGUGUCCCCGUGUCACGCGUGUUUUUGUGUCACGUGUGCGUUGUGUGUCCGUGUCGUCAUGUGUCCCCGUGUCACGUGUUCACGUGUUGCGUCUCUAUCGCGCCCAUCACGGCUUCUCCUGUCCCGUGUUUGCGUGUUACACGUGUGUCCCCAUGUCACACGCAUGUGCCCCCACGUCACGUGUCCUUGCCACGCGUCACCUGGCUGUGUUUCCCUGGGUCACGUGUUCUCGUGUAACACGUGUGUGUCCUCUGCGUGUCACUGUAGCACACACAUGUCCGUUGUUGCACGUGCGGUGUGUCCCCGUGUCACGUGUCCCCAUGUCGCGUCUCCAUCUCACGUCAUUGCGUCACGUGUGUUCUUGUCACGUGUGCCCUUGUGUCAUGUCAUUGCAUCACGUGCGUCCCCGUGUCACGUGUGUCCCCAUUCUAUCACGUGUGACCUCGUGUCACGUGUCCUUAUGUCACAUCCCCAUGUCACGCGUGUCUGUGUUGCAUCUCACUGUCACAUGUCACGUCUUCACGUCACGUGUGUCCCCGUGUCGUGUCGCUGUCACUUGUGUGUCCUCGUGUCACACGUCCCCAUGUCGUAUCGUUGCGUCACGUGUCCACAUGCCAAGUGUGUCCCCUCUACAUGCCACUGUUAUGUGUCCCCGUUGCGUGUCGCUAUCACGUGUCACGUCCUCGUGUCACACGUGUCCCCAUCUCAUGUCACUGUGUCACGCGUGUCCCCGUGUCAUGCGUCCCAUGUCAUGUCACUAUGAUGUGUCACAUCCUUGUGUCACGUGUUACCAUGUCAUUGUGUCACGUAUGUCCUUGUGUCACGUGUCCCCAUGUCACGUUGUGUCACGUAUGUCCUCGUGUCAUAUCCCCAUCUCAUGUCAUUGUGUCACGCGUGUCCCCAUGUCACGUGUGUCCCCAUAUCGCGUGUCCCCAUGUCAUGUCAUUGUGUCACACGUGUCCCCAUGUCACGCGUGUCCCCAUGUCAUGUUCCCACUUCAUGUCAUUGUGUCACACGUGUUCUCACGUCACGCGUGUCGUUACGUUGUUGUGUCACGUGUUCCCAUCUCAUGUUAUUGUGUCACGUGUGUUCCCGUGUCAUGUGUCCCCGUGUCAUGUUGUGUCACGUUUGUCCUCGUGUCGCGUUCCCAUUUCAUGUCAUUGUGUCACGUGUGCCCUGUGUCAUGUGUCCCGUGUCAUGUCACUAUGAUGUGUCACGUGUCACUGUGUCAUGUCAUUGUGUCACGUGUGUCCUUGUGUCACAUGUGUCCCCAUGGCGUGUCUCACUAUCACGUGUCCCCAUCUCACACCCGCAUCACGUGUGCCCAUCGCGUGUCACUGUCACAUGUUCGUAUGUCACAUCCAUGUCACGUGUCACUCUCACGUGUCCACACGUCACUUCCACAUCACGUGUCCCCAUCACGUGUCACCGUCGUGUGUCCCCGUGUCACACGUGUCCUCACCCUGCGCCUUCCUGACACAUGACCCCGUGUCACACGUCCCCAACACGUGUCGCUCCAUCACACGUGUGUCCCCACUGUGGGCGGGGCCUGCGGGUGGAGGGGCGUGGCUUAAGUGGGGGACGUGCCUUUAAGUAGGGGGCGUGGCUUAAGUAGGGGGUGUGACUUUAAGUAAAGGGUGUGACUUUAGGGGGCGUGGCUUAAGCAGAGGGCGUGGCUUAAGUAGAGGACGUGACUUUAAGUAGGGGGCGUGGCUUAAGUAGGGGGCGUGGCUUAAGUAGAGUGAGUGGCUUAAGUAGGGGGCGUGGCUUAAUUAGAGGACGUGACUUUAGGGGGCGUGGCUUAAGUAGAGGGCGUGGCUUAAGGAGGGACGUGACUUUAAGUAGGGGGCGUGGCUUAAGUAGGGGGCGUGACUUUAAGUAGGGGGUGUGUCUUUUAGGGGGCGUGGCUUAAAUAGAGUGCAUGACUUUAACUAGGGGGCGUGGCUUAAGCGGGGGGCGUGGCUUAAGCGGGGGGCGUGGCUUAUGUAGAGGGCGUGGCUUAAGCAGGGGGUGUGACUUUAAGGGGCGUGGCUUAAAUAGAGGGUGUGACUUUAAGUAGGGGGCGUGGCUUAAGUAAGGGGCGUGGCUUAAGUGGGGGGCGUGGCUUAAGUGGGGGGCGUGGCUUAAGUAGGGGGCGUGGCUUAAGUAGAGGGCGUGACUUUAGGGGCGUGGCUUAAGUAGGGGGCGUGGCCUGCGGAGGGGGGGCGUGGCUUACGGGGGGCGUGGCUUAUGUUGGCCCCGCCCCCAGGCGCCGUUCCGGGGUUUCCUGCCCGAGGAGCUGGCGGCGCCGCGGAGGUCGCGGAGAGGUGAGUGGGACACGUGUCCCCAACGUGUCCCCUAAGUGUCCCCAACCCAUCCCCAAUGGCCCCAGCACUAUCCCCAACGUUCCUAGCGUGUCCCCAAGAUGUCACCAAUGGCCCCAGUGCUGUCCCCAACACGUUCCCAUUGUCCCCACCCCCCCCAGCCAUGUCCCCAGCAUCCCCG
ensembl:lncRNA